rnacentral:rRNA from 1 species
GCGACCCCCAGGAUGGGCGAGGCCACCCGCUGAGUUUAAGCAUAUCAU